ensembl:lncRNA
CUUUAGGGAUAAGCCUAGGACUGAUCUGCAGUUAUCCUGGGAUAAAUGUAGGCACAUCGCUGCUGGUGAGUAUUCUCAAGGCAAGUGGGAAAUGGGCUAAGGAACCAGAAAAGCCAAUAUUUGUCAUCAUUCUGUUAAGUGAAUUCUCCCUGAGGCAGGAGGCCCAGUGCAAGUUUGAGGCCAGCCUGGGCCACAUAGCCAGCCCAUGUCUCAAAUGUAAAACCAGAUGCUCUUUUGUGCCCAAACAAGAGUCAAUCAAAACUCUACCACCACAGUAGUCCCGACAUGAAGGGAGCACAGAAGCUUGUCACAGAAGAGUGGAGAAACAGGUGCAGCUGAGCCCAGGGCAUAGAAUCCUACUCCGCACUGCAGUGAAGCAGAAGCUGGACAGGUGAACAAACCACGAGUCUCACUAACCUCACACGAGAGAAGAAGGACAGCGCUCUGACCACAGCCACACUCACCAUGACUCUGUGGCCAUUCACCCCAGACUCAGGGCUGAGAGGGACCCGAUGUGUCAUGUAACAGUCCACAGCCCAACACGAGUCUCCCUGGAUACACUCAGGUGUGUAUGGGGGGAUAGGUGUGCAGGGGCAGGGGAUAGCCCUUUACCAGCUCCCAGCCUCUGCCAUCCUGGGCUGGUGGCUUCCUCCCAUCCUCAAAGACAGCCCUGUUGCAUCUGUGCCCCAGCUUCAGUCUUCAUCUCUUUCUCUGCCCUGCUUCUACCCCCUCUUCUGUGUUUUGAGGACCAUGGUGAUUCCAUUGGGCCCAGUCAGAUCAUCUGGAAUCUUCUCCCCAUUUCGCAGUAUAAAGAUCAGCCACCAAAUUCCAAACAGAAGGUUCUCCUGGAAAACAGCCCAUUCCCAGAUCCCAGGAGUGAGUUCAUGAUUCAUGAGAUUGGUGCAGUUCACUGUGCAUAAAUUUUACCAGCAAAAAGAAAGCAAGCAAGCAAGAAAGAAAGCGAGAAAGAAAGAAAGAAAGAGAGAAAGAAAGAAAGCAAGAAAGCAAGAAAGAAAGAAAGAAAGAAAGAAAGAAAGAAAGAGAGAAAGAAAGAAAGAAAGAAAGAAAGAAAGAGAGAAAGAAAGAAAGAAAGCAAGCAAGCAAGAAAGAAAGAAAGAAAGAAAGAAAGAAAGAAAGAAAGCAAGCAAGAAAGAAAGAAAGAAAGAGAGAAAGAAAGAAAGAAAGAGAGAAAGAAAGAAAGCAAGAAAGCAAGAAAGAAAGAAAGAAAGAAAGAAAGAAAGAAAGAGAGAAAGAAAGAAAGAAAGAAAGAAAGAAAGAGAGAAAGAAAGAAAGAAAGCAAGCAAGCAAGAAAGAAAGAAAGAAAGAAAGAAAGAAAGAAAGAAAGCAAGCAAGAAAGAAAGAAAGAAAGAGAGAAAGAAAGAAAGAAAGAGAGAAAGAAAGAAAGCAAGAAAGCAAGAAAGAAAGAAAGAAAGAAAGAAAGAAAGAGAGAAAGAAAGAAAGAAAGAAAGAAAGAAAGAAAGAGAGAAAGAAAGAAAGAAAGCAAGCAAGCAAGAAAGAAAGAAAGAGAGAAAGAAAGAAAGAAAGAAAGCAAGCAAGAAAGAAAGAAAGAAAGAAAGAAAGAGAGAAAGAAAGAAAGAAAGCAAGAAAGAAAGAAAGAAAGAAAGAAAGAGAGAAAGAAAGAAAGAAAGCAAGAAAGAAAGAAAGAAAGAAAGAAAGAGAGAAAGAAAGAAAGAAAGCAAGCAAGCAAGCAAGAAAGAAAGAAAGAAAGAAAGAGAGAAAGAAAGAAAGAAAGCAAGCAAGAAAGAAAGAAAGAAAGAAAGAAAGAGAGAAAGAAAGAAAGAAAGCAAGAAAGAAAGAAAGAAAGAAAGAAAGAAAGAGAGAAAGAAAGAAAGAAAGCAAGAAAGAAAGAAAGAAAGAAAGAAAGAAAGCAAGAAAGAAAGAAAGAAAGAGAGAAAGAAAGAAAGAAAGCAAGCAAGCAAGCAAGAAAGAAAGAAAGAAAGAGAGAAAGAAAGAAAGAAAGCAAGAAAGAAAGAAAGAAAGAAAGAAAGAAAGAGAGAAAGAAAGAAAGAAAGCAAGAAAGAAAGAAAGAAAGAAAGAGAGAAAGAAAGAAAGAAAGCAAGAAAGAAAGAAAGAAAGAAAGAAAGAGAGAAAGAAAGAAAGAAAGCAAGAAAGAAAGAAAGAAAGAAAGAAAGAGAGAAAGAAAGAAAGAAAGCAAGCAAGCAAGCAAGAAAGAAAGAAAGAAAGAAAGAAAGAGAGAAAGAAAGAAAGAAAGCAAGCAAGAAAGAAAGAAAGAAAGAAAGAAAGAAAGAGAGAAAGAAAGAAAGAAAGCAAGAAAGAAAGAAAGAAAGAAAGAAAGAAAGAGAGAAAGAAAGAAAGAAAGCAAGAAAGAAAGAAAGAAAGAAAGAAAGCAAGAAAGCAAGAAAGAAAGAAAGAAA